ACCGCAUAAUCUCUGUGGAGGAAAGCAGGGGAUCGUAAGACCUUGCGCUUUUGGAGUGGCCGAUGCCUGAUUAGCUAGUUGGUGGGGUAAGAGCCUACCAAGGCGACGAUCAGUAGUUGGUCUGAGAGGACGACCAGCCACACUGGGACUGAGACACGGCCCAGACUCCUACGGGAGGCAGCAGUGGGGAAUUUUGGACAAUGGGCGAAAGCCUGGUCCAGCAAUGCCGCGUGAGUGAAGAAGGCCUUCGGGUUGUAAAGCUCUUUCAGUCGAGAAGAAAAGGUUGCGAUUAAUAAUCGCAACUUAUGACGGUAUCGACAGAAGAAGCACCGGCUAACUACGUGCCAGCAGCCGCGGUAAUACGUAGGGUGCGAGCGUUAAUCGGAAUUACUGGGCGUAAGGGGUGCGCAGGCGGCUCUGUAAGUCAGAUGUGA
rnacentral:rRNA from 1 species